rnacentral:rRNA from 1 species
UACGGAGGGGGCUAGCGUUGUCCGAAGUUACUGGGCGUAAAGCGCGCGUAGGCGGGUUGGUAAGUCCGCUGUGAAAGCCCGGAGUUCAACUCCGGAGGGUCGGUGGAUACUGCCAGUCUUGAAGGUGCUAGGGGGAGAUGGAAUUACCGGUGUAGCGGUGAAAUGCGUAGAUAUCGGUAGGAACACCAGUGGCGAAGGCGGUCUCCUGGGGCAUUCUUGACGCUGAGGCGCGAAAGCUGGGGGAGCAAACGGG